UGCCAGCAGCCGCGGUAAUACGGUGGGUGCAAGCGUUAAUCGGAAUUACUGGGCGUAAAGCGCGCGUAGGUUGUUUGGUAAGUUGGCUGUGAAAGCCCUGGGCUUAACCUGGGAAAGCCAGUCAAAACUGCCAGACUAGAGUACUGUAGAGGGUAGUGGAAUUUCCGGUGUAGCGGUGAAAUGCGUAGAGAUCGGAAGGAACACCGGUGGCGAAGGCGACUUCCUGUGCCAAUACUGACGCUGAGGCGCGAAAGCGUGGGUAGCAAACAGGAUUAGAUA
rnacentral:rRNA from 1 species